UUUAGCCGUUUCCAAGGCUACGAAGCCCAUCGGCCGGGGAUAAGAGAGCAAGAAAAUGAAGCUCAAGAGCCUCCUGCUCCGGUAUUACCCGCCAGGUGAGGACAUGGUCACCUUUAAAGAAUAAGUGACACCCAUUGAUCACCCAGCUUCUUAGGGACAGAAAUAGGAGUGCAAUUCUUGGGUUCUAAUUCAGAACUCGUCUUCUGAAUUAGAAACAUCUGCAAAAAAAAAAAAAAAAAGAAAAAAAAGAAAAAAAUCUGCAAAACAUACCACAAGGCAGAAGAUAACCAAAUACACUUGCCCAAUGAAGUUUGGAUAGGAAGUGUCAUAAAGAUUUCAAAGGAGGGAAUUAUGUUGGAAUAUGAAAAACAUGGAGAAUUAAAGACUAAGUCCAUAGAUUUGCUUGAUCUUGGUCCCAGCACUGAUGUCAGUGCGUUAGUAGAAGAAAUCCAGAAGGCAGAACCUCUACUCACAGCUUCACGAACAGAGCAAGUCAAACUUUUGAUACAGAGGUUGCAAGAGAAACUCGGCCAGAACAGCAAUCACACGUUCUAUCUUUUUAAG
rnacentral:lncRNA from 10 species